AACGGCCGUACCAUGCUGAAUAUACCGGUUCUCGUUAGAUCACCGAAGUUAAGCAUCAUUGGGCGCGGUCAGUACCUGGGUGGGUGACCACCUGGGAACACUGCGUGCCGUU
rnacentral:rRNA from 1 species